UGGUGAUGAUGGCGGAGGGGAACCACGCGUUCCCAUCUCGAACACGACCGUUAAGCCCUCCAGCGUCGAUGGUACUUGAACCGAAGGGUUCUGGGAGAGUAGAACGUCGCCAAGCG
rnacentral:rRNA from 1 species